rnacentral:rRNA from 1 species
GACGAACGCUGGCGGCGUGCUUAACACAUGCAAGUCGAACGAUGAUGCCCAGCUUGCUGGGUUGAUUAGUGGCGAACGGGUGAGUAACACGUGAGUAACCUGCCCCUGACUCUGGGAUAAGCGUUGGAAACGACGUCUAAUACUGGAUAUGAUCGCCGGCCGCAUGGUCUGGUGGUGGAAAGAUUUUUUGGUGGGGAUGGACUCGCGGCCUAUCAGCUUGUUGGUGAGGUAAUGGCUCACCAAGGCGACGACGGGUAGCCGGCCUGAGAGGGUGACCGGCCACACUGGGACUGAGACACGGCCCAGACUCCUACGGGAGGCAG